UAAGGAAUAUUGGUCAAUGGACGCAAGUCUGAACCAGCCAUGCCGCGUGAAGGAUGAAGGUCCUCUGGAUUGUAAACUUCUUUUAUCUGGGACGAAAACGGGAUUUUUAUCUCAAUUGACGGUACCAGAGGAAUAAGCACCGGCUAACUCCGUGCCAGCAGCCGCGGUAAUACGGAGGGUGCGAGCGUUAUCCGGAUUUACUGGGUUUAAAGGGUGCGUAGGUGGGCUUAUAAGUCAGUGGUGAAAUCUCCGAGCUUAACUUGGAAACUGCCGUUGAUACUAUAGGUCUUGAAUUAUCUGGAGGUAAGCGGAAUAUGUCAUGUAGCGGUGAAAUGCUUAGAUAUGACAUAGAACACCAAUUGCGAAGGCAGCUUACUACAUAUAAAUUGACGCUGAGGCACGAAAGCGUGGGAUCAAACA
rnacentral:rRNA from 1 species